rnacentral:rRNA from 1 species
AGUGAACGCUGGCGGUAGGCCUAACACAUGCAAGUCGAACGGCAGCACAGUAAGAGCUUGCUCUUACGGGUGGCGAGUGGCGGACGGGUGAGGAAUACAUCGGAAUCUACUUUUUCGUGGGGGAUAACGUAGGGAAACUUACGCUAAUACCGCAUACGACCUACGGGUUAAAGCAGUGGAUCUUCGGACCUUGCGCGAUUGAAUGAGCCGAUGUCGGAUUAGCUAGUUGGCGGGGUAAAGGCCCACCAAGGCGACGAUGCGUAGCUGGUCUGAGAGGAUGAUCGGCCACACUGGAACUGAGACACGGUCCAGACUCCUACGGGAGGCAGCAGUGGGGAAUAUUGGACAAUGGGCGAAAGCCUGAUCCAGCCAUACCGCGUGGGUGAAGAAGGCCUUCGGGUUGUAAAGCCCUUUUGUUGGGAAAGAAAAGCAGCAGGUUAAUACCCCGCUGUUCUGACGGUACCCAAAGAAUAAGCACCGGCUAACUUCGUG